rnacentral:rRNA from 1 species
UACAGAGAGUGCGAACUUUGUUCGGAAUCACUGGGCUUGAAGCGCACGUAGGCGGCAUCGUAAGUGUCGGGUGAAAUCCCACGGCUCACCCGUGGAACUGCCCGGCAGACGGCGGUGCUCGAGUGUGUUAGGGGAGAACGGAACUCCUGGUGGAGCGGUGAAAUGCGUAGAUAUCAGGAGGAACACCGGUGGCGAAGGCGGUUCUCUGGUCCACAACUGACGCUGAGGUGCGAGAGCCAGGGGAGCAAACGGG